AAGAACCUGUUCAAUUUGUAAACAAUAUUCAACUAGGAGAAAUAACACCUUCCCAAAAAAUAAAAACUUGUAUAUUUAUGAAAACAAGUGAAGUGGGCAUAAGAAAUGUUAUGUUUAAGGUAACAUAUGAUAUUGAAGUUGAGAUUGA